GUGUAAAUAAUUUAAAAAGAAAACAUGAUUAGCUGUAGAAAUUACUAGAUAAAAUAUAUAUUCUGGUCAGAAGUCCCUCAAAACCUCAAAAAGUUUUUUCAGAACUUACCUUAUUUCAAAGUUAAAUACAUGUCUUAUGACACAGUGUUUAAAAUUGCGGUCAAGUGCUGGAGAAAUGACUCCACUAGUUGCAGUGGCAUCAGGGAGUGCUCAGUUUAGUCUUAGUAUACAUCUGGCAUUCAAGUUCGUUACCUUACUGUUCAUCUUAAUCCAAGUUCAAGGAAACAAACAACAAAUGGAAGAUUGUUCUUUGCAACCAAUCUGUAGUCCUUCAAAAAAUACACUAUAAUAAACAAAGCUAUUAAUUCAGCUGCAAGGAAGCAACACUUGCAAAAACUGUAGUUGUCAGAAAUAUUAAAGUUGUAGAAGAGUCCUUGGAGGAUACGUUCUUAUCACCUUCUCAGUUACUUCUACCAGCCUGCCCCGAUCAUUGCAUUAAAGUAAACCGUUCUUCAGCCAGAGAUUUUCCUGUCUGUCCUUUGCUGGAACUCUGUCCAUCGGGUUGGCUGUAUUUCCAGAAGAAGUGCUACUACCUCUCAGAGGGUGAAGCCAACUGGAACUCCAGUCAGAGCCUCUGCUCUUUGCACAAUGCUUCCCUCCUGGUGAUCGAAAAUCAUCAGGAACUGAGUUUUAUGAUGAAGAUAACAAAGCAAGACCCUUGGAUUGGACUCUAUAAAAGAAAUGAAGAGUUCUUUUGGGUAAAUGGGAAAGCAUUAGACAAUAAACUGAUUGAAGUAAAAGGCUCUGGAAAUUGUGCCUAUCUUGAGUCAAAAGGAGUUUCGGUCUCUGGAUGUUAUUUAACCAGGAAGUGGGUCUGUAGCUUGAAUGUUAGAUGAAGGCACCACCCCAGACACUUAACGCUGUGGUUUGAUGUCUAUGUGGGCUAUGUCUGUACUCUGGGAUCUGGGAAUGUGUCUCAGCUCCUGCUUUGAGGUGAAUGACUUUUCUGGUAGCCAGAAUUCUCCACCCAUGGAGGAAGCAUCUGUUUUUUAACAAUGUUGUUUAAAUGGCUUGGUUCAGCACCACUUCCUUGCCACGUUUUUCUAGCUACUAUGCAGCCUGUAGUUCCCUUUCUUUGUGUCAUCAGUAUUUCUUCCAUUAACUCUUCUCUUGCCGGAUCCUAAGCAGCUGCUUUUUCUUUUCCUUUUCGGUGUGCAGUUGGAGGUAAUUGUUCUGCUUUUCCCUCAGCCAAGCUCUGUGUGCUGGGUAGGGUUGUGAAUUGGGUCCGUCUGAAGGUCUGCCAGUGCCUCUCAGGUACACGGUGAUGCAGAAAUGAGCACUGUUGUUUUAGACAGGAUCACUGCAGAUUUUGCUCUCCCGGUUUGACAGGGUGCAUCUUGUGUGACUCUGCAUUGCAUUCAAUGUUUUGUUACUGUUGUUUUACAGUAAUCUUGUUAAAUUAGCGUGACAGUAUUAUGACUGAGAUUUACGUAGCUGCACUGCACCUGCAGUUCUCUUUCCCACAGCACUUAUAUUAGCAAAAAAAAAAAAAAGUAAGAAUAGAUAUUUAUUGACCUGAGGAUCUGCACUGAUGGGGGAAAAGAGUUUGAACUGGAAAAGUAUAGGCAAGCUGCAGGCAUUAAUAUUGUAAAGUUAGAAAUAGUCCUCAGUGCAAAUAGGCAAAAUCAUGAGUAGAGAAUAAGAGAAUUAACAGCAAAGGGCAUUUCUCUCUCAUUUUCUCAUGUUCUGUGCCUGUCGGAGCAUGAGGUUUCUAAGCAAGUGGUACGUAUCUGGAUGGACAAUCAGUGUUUUGUUCUCUGUGUGUGUAUUAUUUUCAGCAUCAACUCCCAGUGCUGUUGAAUUGCUGUGAGCCUGAACAGAAUUAGGGCAAAAUCCUGCUGAACUCUGUCCACUCAUGUCUAGCAUGUACCCUGAAGAUUAAAAGUGACAUUUGACCUGGAGGAAGCAAAGCAGCUUAUUUUCCUGGAGGGACUAUUCCUGUCGGGUUUCUAAAGAAGGAAGAAUAGGGAAUUUGUGUGUAUAGCAGGGCAAAAGACUUCCCUGUUUGGAAUAAAAUCGGGAAAAUUGGUUUUCUUGUGACCUGGAUAUGCUAUAGAGAGGAAAUGACCUCAAGCUGCACCAGGGGAAGUUUAGGUUGGACAUCAGGAAAAACUUCUUCACCAAAAGGGUUGCCAAGCAUUGGAACAGGCUGCCCAGAGAGGUGGUUGAGUCUCCAUCCCUGGAGGUAUUUAAAAGAAGGGUAGAGGGUAUGGUUUAGUGGUGGACUUGGCAGUGAUAGGUUAGCGGUUGGACUCAAUGAUCUUAAGGGUCUUUUCCAACCUUAUUGACUCUUUGAUUCUAUGAUUCUAUGGACUCUGCGGGACUUAUUGAACGAGCAAGCGCAGCCAUUUUUGGAGUAGCCGCUAGAGUGCACUGUAGUUUCAGUGAAGGGAGGAUAAUCGUGUCUUCUCUUUUUUUAAGAAUGUAAAAUUGCACCAUGUUUGACAGGUUAUUUGGAGUGUUGUUGGUUUGUUGGGGUUUUUUGUCCUAUUUGUAAUUAUUUUGCCUUCACUGUGUUUUUAUGCAAAUUUAAUUCCUGUCUACUUUUGUUCAGUCCUGUUUAUGCCUUCAUUAUCUUCUGUGACAACAGGACUUUAGCAGGACUGCAGUAUGGAUAUUGUUAACAAAUUAUGACUUUAAGAUGUCUAGUUAUAUAUGAUCACUAAUUUUUCUGAACUACACUUUUUUUUAAUUGCUUGUAUUCUUUAUAGGCACAGGAACAGGACUCUACAGUACGAAUAACCUAAUAAUCUAUGUAUUAAUUUAUAUGUAACUAGGUGGGGGUGGUUAUCCUGCAAUGUUUUUAAAUUAACUAGCUCUAAAGGAUAUGGUAUGUGCAAUAGUCCUGAAAAGGUACUCAAUAAAUAUCUUUACAGAGCCUCUGAA